AGAGUGACCCGGAGACAUUGCCAUUUGUCCUGCCCCGUGCGCCUCUCGCCCUCGCCUACCAAGCCCAAGAAGAGAAGGACGUAUGGAGAAUCAUCUCUUCCUGAAGGUGAGAUUUCAUCCUCCCUCUACAUCCAAGAAGUUGCAAUUGCCUGGCAGACAAAAAAAAAUGGAUGGUUGGAACUCACACAGUGGUGUCACAGAAGAAAGGCUUGGGGGUCUGCUUCCAUAAAGGUCACAGUCAGAAAAAAUAACACCAGGGGCUACUGACGAAGUGGGACUGUCCCUGGAACGGCUGAGGGUUCACACUGCUGACCUUGGGGUGAGCAGUUCACUGUGGACCCCACUACUCCACCAGCGCUCCCGCUCACCCCUCCCUACUCAGGGCUAAUCAAGACUGACGCACCUUCAGAGGGGCUCCUCCUCACGCUCUACCUCCCCUCUUGCCUCGCCUACAUUCAGCUGCAGCAGCCAGAGCCUUUGCCACCAGCGAGCGGGUAAAGUGGACUUUCUCACUUAAAACAGCUUUUACCCAUGGAAUAAAUCAUUUGAAAACAGCGGUUUGUUUUCUCCCUGAUUUCCCAGCGGGCCGGAUCAGACAGGCCUGCUAUUUUGUAAUAUG